AAAAUGGACUCUGACCAAUCAAUUUUUCCUACAUGAAGGUUGAGUGUUCAGUAAUCUAGAUAGAGAACCUAGGAAUGUCUCCAUGGGUAUGUUUAUUGUUAAUAAAACUAUCUAAUUGCGUCUUGCUUUGCUCAGGCUCGCAGGAACCGCGAGAUUGCAAUCCUGCAGAGGAAGAUUGAUGAGGUGCCUAGCCGGGCUGAGCUGACACAGUACCAAAAAAGAUUUAUUGAACUCUACAGCCAAGUUUCUGCUACACACAAGGAGACCAAGCAGUUCUUCACACUGUAUAACACCUUAGAUGAUAAAAAGGUCUAUCUUGAGAAGGAGGUUAAUCUGCUGAAUUCAAUCCAUGACAACUUUCAACA